UAUAUGUGUAUAAAUUCAAUUAAGGUUGGAUCUCUUAAAAAAUAGGAGUGGGAAGCAGUCCACAUAGCAGACCCAUAGAAUGACAAUCACUUUAAGUAACACUCUGACUUCAGAAUCAGCCCUUAAGUCAUCCUGGUCUAGCUGAAAACUCAUGAACAUUUCUGGCAUGGAAAGCCAAGACGCUGUGGCAAAAAUAUUCUACAUAAAGGAUAUCUGUGAGUGAGACCCCAGCAAAAGUGGCCACAAUGCCCGGAGCUGUGCUGAUCUGAAGCCAGGAGCCAGGAGCUUUUUCUGGGUCUCCUGUGUGGGUGCAGGGGCCCAAGGACUUGGGCCAUCUUCAACUGCUUUCCCAGGCCAUAGAAGAGAGCUGGAUGAGAAGUGGAGCAUAUGGGACUUAAACUGGUGCCCAUAUGGGAUGCCAGCACUGCAGUUGGGGGCUCUACCUGCUAGGCCACAACACCAGCACCACUCUAACUUUUCUCAGGUUAUUCCUCUAAGUGGAUUGGCAUCAGAUGUGUGUCUGAGGUAGAACUCAAAGUGACCCUCCGGAGCACCAUGUGAUCAAGGCACUUCACAUCCUCUCUGUCUAUAAGAAGCCUUCAAUCAGCUUCCACACCUGCAAGUGCCUUCCCUUGGGAACACAACCUGGGAACUCAGAGCUGACAGCAGGACUAGUGGCCCCUAAGUUCACAGGAAUGCCUGAAGGCUCCAAGUCACGAGAUGAUACAUGGAGGAACGUGCAGGUGGUGAGUCCUGGGGUCCUCAGUCUCACUGGGAGACUGCACAGAGGAUGACACGGGCUUUACAGAGGACUGGGAAGCCUCUAAGGUCUGACACAUGCUGUGGAACUCUUCCCUGGCACUGCUCAGGCAGCUUCAGUACCAGGAGAGUUCCUGAGCUGGGCACACGGCUGAGUUCCUGAAGACACGGAGAGUUCCAGGCAGGUAUUGGAGCACCGGUGGAUGUCAUUACCAGGAUUCAGCAUGCAAUGCUGCUUCCCAGAGAUGGCACUGACACACCACUGGCCAGGGACAGUAGAGAGAAGCCUCUGUCAAGAAAUGGCAGAGAGAUGCCAGUGCCAAGAUGCUAUAGGAGGACUGGGACCUGAUCUGCUCUAGAAUAUUUUCAGAGGGAGGCACAUCUCAACAUUGCAGAAACUCUACUGCAUUUGCUGAGUUUCUCCACUAGGAGCAGAGGUCUCUGGAAGGCCCCAAGGAAGAAGGAAAGCUCUGAACUGCACUUUCCCUGAGAGAAAACGUCUCUCCGACCCAGCCAUUGUGGAUGCCUCAGGAACCCCUGAGGCCACAUCAGAGCACGUAUAUUAGAUGCAUGGGCAUGCAGCCAUGUGCUUAAGAUGGCAUUGUGAAAGAUGAGUGUUCUAUAAUUCCAUUCUUCCAAGUUUGAAAUUUCCUUAUUUUUUAAAUGGAUUUUUUCUGCUUUUUAAUAAAAUAAUGUGUUUAUCUCA